AGGGAAAUAACCUGUGGUCUGGUUAGAACAAGAGUGAAAGACGAUUGCUGCUAAUAAUUUGAGGUCUGGUUAGAACAAGAGUGAAAUACGAUAGCUGGAAAUAAUCUGUCACCAAACAAAAGAUAAAUCAGUUUGAUUUAAAGACGAAAUGCAUAUGAAAGUUAAGAACUUUCAGUGAAACAAACCAUAAAUAUGUAAGAUCUAAGAAAAUAAAUCCUAAAUCUCUACCUUCGAUUCGAUUUCGACCUUCAAUCCCCUUCAAAUCGAGUUGCGGGAAGAAUAUCACCGGUUACUGAGCACGAAAUCGAGCUUGACGGUGUCGCCUGAGAGUUUCGUCGCCGGAAGAUUCGGUUUCGGAGUUGCGAUUAGGGUUUCUCUCUAGAGAGAGUUCUCUCGUGACUACUUUUUUUUUCUAUCUAUGUCGACCCAAUUUUUUUAAGCUUAAGUACCAAAAGUGUCAUAGUUAAGAGGGAAACACUUUGGUUCUUCCCGGCUCUC
rnacentral:lncRNA from 1 species